rnacentral:tRNA from 1 species
GCGGCUGUGGCGGAAUUGGUAGACGCGCAGCGUUGAGGUCGCUGUGGGGUAACUCCCGUGGAAGUUCGAGUCUUCUCAGCCGCACCA